rnacentral:sRNA from 1 species
GCUAGGUGCACUGGCGCGCACCUGUCAUCCCAGUAGCUUGGGAGGCUGAGGCAGGAGGAUCGUAAGGUGGAGGCCAGCCUCAGCCACAUAGUGAGGCCCUGAGCAACUCAGCAAGACCCUGGCUCUA